AGAGUUUGAUCCUGGCUCAGGAUGAACGCUGGCGGCGUGCUUAACACAUGCAAGUCGAACGAAGCACUUUAUUUGAUUUCCUUCGGGACUGAUUAUUUUGUGACUGAGUGGCGGACGGGUGAGUAACGCGUGGGUAACCUGCCUUGUACAGGGGGAUAACAGUUGGAAACGGCUGCUAAUACCGCAUAAGCGCACAGCAUCGCAUGAUGCAGUGUGAAAAACUCCGGUGGUAUAAGAUGGACCCGCGUUGGAUUAGCUAGUUGGUGAGGUAACGGCCCACCAAGGCGACGAUCCAUAGCCGACCUGAGAGGGUGACCGGCCACAUUGGGACUGAGACACGGCCCAAACUCCUACGGGAGGCAGCAGUGGGGAAUAUUGCACAAUGGGCGAAAGCCUGAUGCAGCGACGCCGCGUGAGCGAAGAAGUAUCUCGGUAUGUAAACUUCUAUCAGCAGGGAAGAAAAUGACGGUACCUGACUAAGAAGCACCGGCUAAAUACGUGCCAGCAGCCGCGGUAAUACGUAUGGUGCAAAGCGUUAUCCGGAUUUACUGGGUGUAAAGGGAGCGCAGGCGGUGCGGCAAGUCUGAUGUGAAAGCCCGGGGCUCAACCCCGGUACUGCAUUGGAAACUGUCGUACUAGAGUGUCGGAGGGGUAAGCGGAAUUCCUAGUGUAGCGGUGAAAUGCGUAGAUAUUAGGAGGAACACCAGUGGCGAAGGCGGCUUACUGGACGAUAACUGACGCUGAGGCUCGAAAGCGUGGGGAGCAAACAGGAUUAGAUACCCUGGUAGUCCACGCCGUAAACGA
rnacentral:rRNA from 1 species